rnacentral:rRNA from 1 species
AAAUUGAAGAGUUUGAUCAUGGCUCAGAUUGAACGCUGGCGGCAGGCCUAACACAUGCAAGUCGAGCGGAAACGAGUUAUCAGAACCUUCGGGGGACGAUAACGGCGUCGAGCGGCGGACGGGUGAGUAAUGCCUAGGAAAUUGCCCUGAUGUGGGGGAUAACCAUUGGAAACGAUGGCUAAUACCGCAUGAUGCCUACGGGCCAAAGAGGGGGACCUUCGGGCCUCUCGCGUCAGGAUAUGCCUAGGUGGG